CAUGCAAGUCGAGCGGAAACGACAMYAWYRAWYCUUCGGAKGMKUURWUGGGCGUCGAGCGGCGGACGGGUGAGUAAUGCCUAGGAAAUUGCCUUGAUGUGGGGGAUAACCAUUGGAAACGAUGGCUAAUACCGCAUAAUGCCUACGGGCCAAAGAGGGGGAYCUUCGGRCCUCUCGCGUCAAGAUAUGCCUAGGUGGGAUUAGCUAGUUGGUGAGGUAAUGGCUCACCAAGGCGACGAUCCCUAGCUGGUCUGAGAGGAUGAUCAGCCACACUGGAACUGAGACACGGUCCAGACUCCUACGGGAGGCAGCAGUGGGGAAUAUUGCACAAUGGGCGAAAGCCUGAUGCAGCCAUGCCGCGUGUAUGAAGAAGGCCUUCGGGUUGUAAAGUACUUUCAGUUGUGAGGAAGGGGGUAACGUUAAUAGCGUUAUCUCUUGACGU
rnacentral:rRNA from 1 species